GCAGCUGAAGGGUGCCCAGGGGCAGAGAGCCCGUGGGGUGGGAAGCCGGGUGCGGCUGGGAGGGCAGCACGGGAGGCCUCUGUGGGCCUUGCCAGGAAUUUCCAUCCUACCAGAUGACAAUGAGAAGUCACUGACGCGUCUUCAUAGGACAGGGAAUGGGUGCUAUGGCCAGAUUAGCAUUUACUGCCGAGAAUCCAGGUUGUCCAAUGGAGAAUGAAUUAGAAGGGCCUAAGGAGGAUAAAGAGGAGUCAGGAAGGGGGAUCUUGCAAUAAACCCGGUGUGAAAUAAUAGUAACUUAGGCAAGAAUGGAGGUGAUGAAAUGGAGACAAGGGGGCAUAUUUGAGCAGUUAUCAGGAGAGGAGAUAAGAUCUGCAGAGUUUUAAUAGAGACAUUCAUAUUAUUUAUUAGCUUCUCCGUUGAGUACCGACAGCUUACAGGUGUUCUAUGCGACCCCCUUCCUGGGCUUCCUAAAGGAGGCACAGAGCUUGGAGGGGGGAGCGGGUUCCUGGUUUAGCAACUCCUUUUGGAGGAGGAGAGUGCCAGGGGCAUGGGGUGGGUGGGGGGAGGCUGGAGAGACCGCCUUCUGGCUUUGUACCACUUGGAAAUAGGAACUUGAAAAAUAUACAUGCAUAACAAUUCCACAAUUUGUGUAUGGAAAGGCAAUAUUUUAAUAUUGCUUUUGAAAUAUCAUUUUAGAUUUCCAUGAAGGAAUCAAUGACUCACACGGAGAAUACUGAAUAAGCUUGAGGGAUGUCUUCAGUGCUGGGGCCUCCCACAGUGACUUAGGAUGGAUUGCAUGUUGCUUUCCCAAGGCUUAGGAGGGUCGGCAGAGUCGGACCCGUGGGACAGACACAGAGCUGCGAGCAGGUUCUGCCUCGUGCCCGCUCGGCUCCCCCUGCACACCUAGCUCUUUGGUCUUACAGCCCUCCCGGGCACAUUUCUAUUGGAUGGCACAACUCCAGAACUCGCCCUGCUGCAGACCAGGUACGUCUGCCUCCAAAGGCACCGUGUGUGCAUGAGGAGUCAAGAGGGCUGGCUGGGCACUGGCUUUUAAGUACAGACGGUGAGAGGUUUUGCCUCUUCUGUAAGCAGAAGCAGAAGAGCCCUGGAAGCGGCUCCGUGGCCCUGUGUCCUGAGGAUCGGCUCACCCUGCCGGGUGAUUUCCACCUGGGCCUUUGCCUCUGGUACCCUUUCCUGAGAGUAGUGGGUCUACAGGUGUCUAGUGGGUGCCCAAAUGAAGUGUGUGCUCGGUGCAUAUA